rnacentral:rRNA from 1 species
UACGGAGGGUGCAAGCGUUAAUCGGAAUUACUGGGCGUAAAGCGCACGCAGGUGGCUGAGAAAGUCGAUUGUGAAAGCCCUGGGCUUAACCUGGGAAUUGCAGUCGAAACUACUCGGCUAGAGUAUGGGAGAGGGUAGUGGAGUUCCCGGUGUAGCGGUGAAAUGCGUAGAUAUCGGGAGGAACAUCAGUGGCGAAGGCGGCUACCUGGCCCAAUACUGACACUCAGGUGCGACAGCGUGGGGAGCAAACAGG